GGCGAACGGGCGAGUAACACGUGAGUAACCUGCCCUUGACUUUGGGAUAACUUCAGGAAACUGGGGCUAAUACCGGAUAGGAGCUCCUGCUGCAUGGUGGGGGUUGGAAAGUUUCGGCGGUUGGGGAUGGACUCGCGGCUUAUCAGCUUGUUGGUGGGGUAGUGGCUUACCAAGGCUUUGACGGGUAGCCGGCCUGAGAGGAUGACCGGCCACAUUGGGACUGAGAUACGGCCCAG
rnacentral:rRNA from 1 species